CGAUGGCACAAGUUAGAGGGCGUGGCUUGUUCACAACAACGUCCUUUCACAGAAAGAACACGGGACGGGGAGUUCGCAGCUGUCAUAGACAAGCUUGAAAUCCCAUCCCAGUUCACUUAAAUCGUAUGGAAAAGAGCACCCUAGACAUUCUGCUAAACUUCUCAUUUGGUGUUCCACAGAAGAAAAAUAAUCAGAUUUGAAAUAACAUGAGGGUGGAAAAGAAAGAUGUUCAUAUGCAGAGGGAACUGGAGGACAGAAGUGCUGUUGUAUCUGGAACUUUACCUCAUUGCUGGCAUACUUAAAGAAUGAUGCAUGGAAAGGUUGCUACUGCAGAGAGCAGGUUGGAGGCAGAGAAUGAGCAGGCAGCAUUAGGCGAGCACAAAGCAGAGAAAAAGAAAUUGCAAAGCACAAUGGCAUUAGAACAAAAUUUGACAGUACCAUGACAGUACAAUUAAAAAUUAAAGUCUACAACUGGGACAACAGCUCUGAAUACAGAUAUACAGUGGCCUCAAAAAGUAUUUGGACACUUAAUGUAUGAAUAUCAUUACAUUAGAUAACAAAAUAUCAAACCACAUGUGAUUUAUUUUAAAAGAUAGCAUAAGCAUACUUUUAAAGUUAAAAAGAACAACAUAGUAGUUACAGAUUUAAAAUGAUAACACAAUAGAUAUACUGUGAGACAAACUGUGAUUGGAAAUAGUAGACCACAUCUAUAUUACUUGUCUUACUGCUUAGACACCUGAGAGAAAAUUGCCUAUUGCAUCCCUUAAAAAAUGACCAUAAGACUGGUUGGUUAAAUAAAAGUAAUUGCAAAUAUGACUCAAAGUUCUCUUAAAAAUGCUGAAAAAUUGUAUGUUUUGUUUUCUAAUUCAAUUGAACUAAUACAUUUUAAAGUGUAACUUUAAGUGUCCAAAUAUUUUUGGGGCCUAUUCAUGUGGUCUUCACAGCUACUAUAGAAUGUUUUUAAACCCUUCUUAAGUAUAGGGAACAAUACAAAGAUGAUGUGCG